rnacentral:rRNA from 1 species
UACGAAGGGGGCUAGCGUUGCUCGGAAUCACUGGGCGUAGAGCGCACGUAGGCGGAUUGUUAAGUCAGGGGUGAAAUCCUGGAGCUCAACUCCAGAACUGCCCUUGAUACUGGCGAUCUCGAGUCCGGGAGAGGUGAGUGGAACUGCGAGUGUAGAGGUGAAAUUCGUAGAUAUUCGCAAGAACACCAGUGGCGAAGGCGGCUCACUGGCCCGGUACUGACGCUGAGGUGCGAAAGCGUGGGGAGCAAACAGG